rnacentral:rRNA from 1 species
GAUAAACGCUGACAGAAUGCUUAACACAUGCAAGUCGAUGAUGGGAGCUAGCUUGCUAGAAGAAGUCAUGGCGGACGGGUGAGUAACGUGUAAAGAACUUACCAUAUAGACUGGGAUAACAGAGGGAAACUUCUGAUAAUACUGGAUAAGUUAGUAGUAGCAUUACUAAGUAAUGAAAGGUAGCAAUACGCUAUAUGAGAGCUUUGCAUCCUAUUAGCUAGUUGGUGGGGUAAAAGCCUACCAAGGCGAUGAUAGGUAGCCGGCCUGAGAGGGUGGACAGCCACAAGGGGACUGAGAUCCGGCCCUUACUCCUACGGGAGGCAGCAGUGGGGAAUAUUGGACAAUGGAGGCAACUCUGAUCCAGCAAUUCUGUGUGUGUGAAGAAGGUUUUAGGACUGUAAAACACUUUUAGUAGGGAAGAAAGAAAUGACGGUACCUACAGAAGAAGCGACGGCUAAAUACGUG